rnacentral:rRNA from 1 species
AAACUGGAGAGUUUGAUCCUGGCUCAGAAUUAACGCUGGCGGCAUGCCUAACACAUGCAAGUCGCACGAGAAAGCCCGGUUCGCCGGGCGAGUAAAGUGGCGCACGGGUGAGUAACGCGUGGAUAAUCUACCUCGUUCUGGGGGAUAACCCAUCGAAAGGUGGGCUAAUACCGCAUAAUCCGGCUGAAUUUCGGUUUGGUCGGCAAAGGUGGCCUCUUGAUCAAAGCUACCGGAAAGAGAUGAGUCCGCGUCCCAUUAGCUUGUUGGUAGGGUAACGGCCUACCAAGGCGACGAUGGGUAGCUGGUCUGAGAGGACGAUCAGCCACACUGGAACUGGUACACGGUCCAGACUCCUACGGGAGGCAGCAGUGAGGAAUAUUGCGCAAUGGGGGAAACCCUGACGCAGCGAUGCCGCGUGAGUGAAGAAGGCCUUCGGGUCGUAAAGCUCUGUCAAGUGGGAAGAACAGCCUGGGGACCAAUACUCCCUGGGUCUGACGGUACCACUGAAGGAAGCACCGGCUAACUCCGUGCCAGCAGCCGCGGUAAGACGGAGGGUGCAAGCGUUAUUCGGAUUUAUUGGGCGUAAAGAGAGUGUAGGCGGCCGGUCAAGCCAGAUGUGAAAGCCCAGGGCUUAACCCUGGAAGUGCAUUUGGAACUGGUUGGCUUGAGUUCGGGAGAGGGAAGUGGAAUUCCGGGUGUAGAGGUGAAAUUCGUAGAUA